GACGAACGCUGGCGGCGUGCUUAACACAUGCAAGUCGAACGAAGUGGCGAACGGGUGAGUAACGCGUAAUCAACCUGCCCUUCAGAGGGGGACAACAGUUGGAAACGACUGCUAAUACCGCAUAAUGAAGGAGGGGAGGGAGUCGGAUUAGCUAGUUGGAGGGGUAACGGCCCACCAAGGAGAUGAUCAGUAGCCGGUCUGAGAGGAUGACCGGCCACAUUGGGACGGAGACACGGCCCAGACUCCUACGGGAGGCAGCAGUGGGGAACCUUCGGCAAUGGCCGAAAGUCUGACGGAGCAACGCCGCGUGAGUGAUGACGGCCUUCGGGUUUUAAAGCUCUUUUAAUCGGGACGCGGUACCGGAAUAGAAAGCCACGGCUAACUACGUGCCAGCGGCCGCGGUAAUU
rnacentral:rRNA from 1 species